CACACUCACACUGAUACACACCUGUGUGUGUGUGUGUGUGUGUGUGUGUGUGUGUGUGUGUGUGUGUGUGUGUGUGUGUGUGUGUGUGUGUGUGUGUGUGUGUGCACGUGGAGCCACAUUCAACACCACGCUCUGAUUUUACCGUCUCAUUUCUCUCCGAGCAGCAGCAGCCUGGUCCAGCACCUCCUGCCACCUUCUUGACACCUCAUGUAAAACUGUGGCUGCUGCAGGAGCCCGUAAAGUUUGACCUUGCUCUCACUUACGUGUUUUUCACACAUAGCGGGGCACAAAACCUAUAAAAGGCGCUCAGUAAUCGCUGAGGACAGGCCGAACACAAUGAAAUAGGUCUUAGCGGGGAACCACAGCGCUCCAUCUCCAGCCCGUCUCUGAGGGAUGACCGUCUAAACUGGAAUAAAACCCCGUUAAACGGUGUCACAACAUGAAUCACUGCCCCGGGAGACAUCCAUCACUGCUUAAAAGGUGACCACAAAUGAUCUGUGAGCCACUAGAUAUUGAUUACUCAUGUGCUGCAGGUGUCAGGUUUAAUGUUGCAGCGGCUUGAUAGCGUCGCCUCUGACAGCCGCUGCCCUAACUCUCCUCUGAUAGAUUUUAAUGGUGAAAUAUUGAUUUCUUUCUGGCCAAGGUCUGCCAGCAAGGGCCAGAUCAUUUGUUGGGGUAAUGCAGGACACUCUGUGCCCUGGUCCCAAUCAAUCAUUUUGACAGGAAGCACCAAAGAGAAGAGGGAGAAAAAAAAAACGUGGUGAGGCUUCAGCAGAUACAUCCACAAUCAGGACUCACAGACAGAGCGCUGCAGAUAUCUGCGACUCUAAUAUGAAUACUAAUGAUGUGUUUAUUGAGUGGGAAUGCUCAGCAAAUCACAGCUGACGGGAUAACAGUCGGAGUGCCUUGAGCAGGGAAUGAGGAUCUCGGAGAGAGGGUCUAUAUUUUAUUUAAGCGUCUGUGUGCCGGGGCCGGGGAGAGAGACUCAGGUAAUGUGUUGUGUUACAACUCAGUGGUCGUUCCCCCCAGCCGGAGCGAUAACAGACUUGCUAAUGGGAAGCCAUCAAUCACAAUCAGCCUCCUAUUCCACCAGUGUCUCCGCUCUCCUCGGCUCUGUAACAGGGAGCUGGAAUAGAGGUAAUAAUGGAGUUUUGUGGCUGCAGCCGCAGCAGCAGCUCGUCCACAAGUCAUAUCUCCAGCCAAAGCAAUAGAUGCUUUGCCAUGUCAGCAUGUCUUUUAAUAAGAGAGCCACAAAACGGCCAUGAGAAGCAGUUAAAGGCUGGACGAGGCCUUGGGCCGCUCGGGGAGAGCAGAAUUAAUGCGCAGCCGGUCUCAGGUGGGAUGAGUGUGUUGGGUGUUUGGUGCCAAAAGCAGCUAAUUGGUUUUUCAUUACACUCUGUUCAGUCUACUGUUACAUCCUCAGAGCACCGGCUGCAGACAAAGGACAGAGACUGAAGGAAGAAGAGAGCGCGGGAGGACGAAUUUCAUGUUUCUGCACAUUUAAAUCACGUUUUAUCAGCCAGAGCGUCGAGCUGCAGCACAGCUGACGGAGAACCCAACAGCAAGAAGAGUUCUGAGUUAACAUGUGAUCUUUGUCUUGUUCUGAUUGGAGCAAACAAAGCUAGCAGCUAGUUAGCUUCUCUUCAUGCUCAUCUUCAGCAUCAGCAGGCCACACCGAGAAACACACAAUACACAUUUCACAUAAUAUUGGAAGACAGAUUUUAUAAUUGACACUGCAGAAACUCUCCGGUCAGAAUCUGCUUUCAGCCUCGAGACCAGCAGGAACCCGACCCUGAUCUGCCUGACGCAGCAGGACACGAACACGCAGAGAUCCAACAUGUCGUCAGUGUUAAAACAUGUUCUCCAGUGACCGUGUUGGUCUCUGAUCAUUAUAAACUGAUUGAAUGCUGUUUCAUGUCGUACCUGAGAGAACACCUGCACCACCGACACCGCAGGUCUGAUCCCUGCAGGGAGGACGAGGAGGACACGCUGCAGCUGCUGGGACUGAAUGUGGCAGCAGGACGGUGUUGGUCACAGACGGGUUUCAGUAGUAGACGAGAUAUCAGAAGCUGGUUCACUUCUGGUUUGAGAUCUUUUCAUCAUCAGGAAAAUACAAACUUCCACUUAAACCAGAUUGAUGUUUGGAGUCUUGUGUACUUCAUAUUUUAGUCUUUUCUUAUUUUCUCUGUAUUUAUCUGGAAGUAUUCUUUUGUUUAAAACUGAGUUUCUGCUGAUAAACACACAAACACCCUGCAAUUAAACCUGAGUAGAUCAGUGAAUAAGAUUGUGAGGUGUUGUUUCAUUUUGAUUUCAUCUUACAAAGAGUGUUAAAAUAACGUCUUUGCUUCUUCUGUUGUCUGAACCUGUUUUAGAAAAUUGUCAUUUCCUUCCAAACUUCUUCAGACCUCUGUGGUCCAGAUGUGGAUCAGAACAUUUUCCCUCAGACAGCCUCUUCAACACGUCGUCUGACUGCAGAGCAAAUGUUUUACAUCUUUAAAGUCUGAAUGUUUGGAAGAAGCACCAGUUUAUAUACAUUUAUAUUAAAUAUUCAUUAUGUUAGAUUUGAUGCUUGCUUUUUCCCUCCGUGGCUGAUGUCUGACGU